UACGAAGGGGCGAGCGUUGUUCGGAUUUACUGGGCGUAAAGGGCGCGUAGGCGGCGUAUCAAGUCAGGCGUGAAAGCCCCGGGCUCAACCUGGGAAUGGCGCUUGGGACUGGUAUGCUUGAGUUCGGGAGAGGAGAGUGGAAUUCCCAGUGUAGAGGUGAAAUUCGUAGAUAUUCGACAGAACACCAGUGGCGAAGGCGGCUCACUGGCCGAUACUGACGCUGAGGUGCGAAAGCGUGGGAGCAAACAGG
rnacentral:rRNA from 1 species